rnacentral:rRNA from 1 species
UAGCAAUACAUUAGUGGCAAACGGGUGAGGAAUAUAUAGGAAUCUUCCCAGCAGUAAGGAAUAACUUUGGGAAACCAAAGCUAAUGCCAUAUAUCACCGCUUCGGCGGGAAAGAUUUAUCGCUGUUGGAUGAGCCUGUAUCGGAUUAGCUAGUUGGUAGGGUAAUGGCCUACCAAGGCGAUGAUCCGUAGCUGGUCUGAGAGGAUGAUCAGCCACACUGGGACUGAGACACGGCCCAGACUCCUACGGGAGGCAGCAGUGGGGAAUAUUGGACAAUGGGCGCAAGCCUGAUCCAGCAAUACCGCGUGAGUGAUGAAGGCCUUCGGGUUGUAAAGCUCUUUUAGUAGGGAAGAUAAUGACGGUACCUACAGAAAAAGCACCGGCUAACUUCGUGCCAGCAGCCGCGGUAAUACGAAGGGUGCUAGCGUUGUUCGGAAUCAUUGGGCGUAAAGCGUGCGUAGGCGGUAUAGUAAGUCGGUUGUGAAAGCCCAGGGCUUAACCUUGGAAUUGCAAUCGAAACUGCUAUGCUAGAGUAUGGUGGGGGAUAGUGGAAUUCCUAGUGUAGGGGUGAAAUCCGUAGAUAUUAGGAGGAACACCGGUGGCGAAAGCGACUAUCUACACCAUUACUGACGCUGAGGCACGAAAGUGUGGGGAGCAAACAGGAUUAGAUACCCUGGUAGUCCACACCAUAAACGAUGAGUGCUAGUCAUUGGGAUCUUAGAUUUCGGUGGCGAAGCUAACGCGUUAAGCACUCCGCCUGGGGAGUACGGCCGCAAGGCUAAAACUCAAAGGAAUUGACGGGGACCCGCACAAGCAGUGGAGCAUGUGGUUUAAUUCGAUGCUACGCGAAAAACCUUACCAGCUCUUGUAUCCUCA